rnacentral:rRNA from 1 species
GGGUGAUUUGUUGGACGCUAGCGGCGGAUGGGUGAGUAACACGUGGGCAAUCUGCCCUAAAGACUGGGAUACCACUUGGAAACAGGUGCUAAUACCGGAUAACAACAUGAAUCGCAUGAUUCAAGUUUGAAAGGCGGCGUAAGCUGUCACUUUAGGAUGAGCCCGCGGCGCAUUAGCUAGUUGGUGGGGUAAAGGCCUACCAAGGCAAUGAUGCGUAGCCGAGUUGAGAGACUGAUCGGCCACAUUGGGACUGAGACACGGCCCAAACUCCUACGGGAGGCAGCAGUAGGGAAUCUUCCACAAUGGACGCAAGUCUGAUGGAGCAACGCCGCGUGAGUGAAGAAGGUUUUCGGAUCGUAAAGCUCUGUUGUUGGUGAAGAAGGAUAGAGGCAGUAACUGGUCUUUAUUUGACGGUAAUCAACCAGAAAGUCACGGCUAACUACGUGCCAGCAGCCGCGGUAAUACGUAGGUGGCAAGCGUUGUCCGGAUUUAUUGGGCGUAAAGCGAGCGCAGGCGGAAUGAUAAGUCUGAUGUGAAAGCCCACGGCUCAACCGUGGAACUGCAUCGGAAACUGUCAUUCUUGAGUGCAGAAGAGGAGAGUGGAAUUCCAUGUGUAGCGGUGGAAUGCGUAGAUAUAUGGAAGAACACCAGUGGCGAAGGCGGCUCUCUGGUCUGCAACUGACGCUGAGGCUCGAAAGCAUA